rnacentral:rRNA from 1 species
UACGAAGGGGGCUAGCGUUGUUCGGAAUUACUGGGCGUAAAGCGCACGUAGGCGGAUCGAUCAGUCAGGGGUGAAAUCCCUGGGCUCAACCCAGGAACUGCGUCCGAUACUGGCAGGCUUGAAUCCGGGAGAGGGAUGUGGAAUUCCAGGUGUAGCGGUGAAAUGCGUAGAUAUCUGGAGGAACACCGGUGGCGAAGGCGGCUCUCUGGAACGGUACUGACGCUGAGACGCGAAAGCGUGGGGAGCGAACAGG